CGCCGCGCCUCUCGCCUCCUCGCCGCGCUAUGCCUGGUCCGCUCCUCCUCCUCUCUUCGACCGGGCCACGCCUUCGCCCUCCUCGCCGCGCUCUGACCGGUCUGCGCGACUGCGCCUCCUCCACUCUUCGUCCGGGCCGAGCCUUUCUCCUCCUCGCCGUGCUCGGGCCGGUCUGCUGCUCCUCCACUCUUCGUCCGGGUCGUGCCGUUCUCCUCCUCGCCACGCUCUGCCCGGUUUGCUCCUCCUCCUCCUCCUCUCUUCGUCCGGGUUUGCCUGCCUCUGUCCUCCUCGAGUCGCAUUUUAUCUUGCUCGUCCUCGCUCGAUCGAUUCGACCGUUUAGAAUCGCUGGAUUUGGUUUUGCUCGUCCUCGCCGUCGCCAGUUUAGAUAGAGAAUCCCACCUGAUUUGAUUUUGCUCGUUCUCGCCGCCGUUCGUCCGUGUAGAGUCUCGUCUGAUUUCACUUUGCUCGUGCUCGAUUUGUCAGUUUAGAAUCGCUUCUGAUAUGAUUCCGUUCGUCCUUGCCAUCGUCAGUUUAGAGUCGCGUCUGAUUUGAUUCUGCCCGUCCUCGUUGUCGCCCCGAUGCGCUCGCGUGUUCUUGGUCCGUCUCGUCGAGGGUCUCCGCCUGGUUUGCGACUGAAAAGUUUCUGUGUGCGCUUCUGUUAUCUGAGAGACACUUUGCCUUUGGGUCAUGCGUUUCGUGUUCGUGUCAGCGCGAGUGUUACAGGAACGGUCGGGUCUUGGUUUUGAAAUUGGAUUAUGGGCGGAGAUGGGGAGACAGGGAGCAAUUAUUAUUUUGUCGUGCUAGUUCAGCUCGGUUCCUAGUCCAUGUCACCUUUUGCCUUGUUCAUCAGUUUUUUCAGAUCUCAAACGACUAUGCUUGUUCGUGUUCGUCCGUCAGAGAUGUGCCCUUUGAUAAUCUGGUUCCUCUGUCGAUUCUGUGAUUGUGCCGGCUAGCUUGUUCCACUUUGGGCAGGCGUGUGUGCUCUCAUCCCAGAUGCAGGGGUGAUUCCUUACGGUUCUUCUGAUGGGUGUUACUGCUUCUGCUCUUUUCAAUCCGUUAUUACUUCCAAUCAUGCUUUGCUUAUGUUCCGAUAUAUGGUGAUGUGUGUUCAGGGGUGCAAAUCAUGUAGGCCGUGGAUGCCAUUUCUUGCAGGCAGGCAGAGCAGAGUGCAAACCAUGUGGCCUGCUGCCUGACUAAUUGAACACCUGCUGCUGCUACUGUUGGACAAGGUUUCCUUCUGUUGCUAUUUCCAUUUUCAUACGAGUACUAGAUGAGGUGCUGCUAGUUAGUCCCCCCUACACUUCGUUCUAGAUUGCAUAGCAUAACUCCAGAAUUAUUUCAUUGACACCUGGGCAUAUAAUUCUGUUGUGAGCGGAAUUUAUUUAUCUGUGAAAGCACGUUCAUCACAUGUUUUUUAUCAAUGCUGCUCACUUUUGUCAUGUCCCUUUUGUUUGUCCUGUUAAAUUUUAUGGCAUCAACUUGGAGCAAAUUUUUUUACUCACUGGUUAAAAUAUCGAGAAUGCUGACUUCUGUAUUUGUCGCUAUGUAAGCCAUGCACUUGUGAAGCCUGGGCGUGAUUAGGAUUUGGAUUGCAUAUAGAUUUUAUGCUAUGUUUGUUUAUAACCUGGUUGUGAUCUAAUAUACUGUAAAUCUGCUAAUUUUUUAAUUUAAUUUAUGUUCAACACAAGUAAACAUUUAUUUAGCCAAAUUUUGCUACUUCUGAGAACUUUGUUUUUAGAUGUGUUGUAGCCAUAACUGCCUAUUCUGAUAUUUGCAUGGAUCUUUCUAUAUAAGGUCAUUGGCAUGUCAUGUUGUGACCUACAUACCUUUGUGGUUGGCAGCAUCUUUGCCCUUUGAUUCUGCUUUUCCUUGCUGUUGUCCGUUUGGAUAGAGUCGCUUUUGAUUAGAUUUUUAUCGUCCUCAUUGUUGCCCUGAUGCGCUCGCAUGUUCUUGGGUCGUCUCGUCUCGGGUAUCUGUCUGGUUUGUGAACUAAAAUUUCUCUUUGAGAAAUUUCUACGUCUGUUUCUGUUAUCUUAGACAUUCCAGAUCAUGUGUUCUGUGUUCGCGUCGGCGUGAGGGUUGUAAGAACGAUCGGGUCUAGUUUCGAAAUUGGAGGGACCAAUGUCAGUUUGUCGUGCUAGUUCAAAUCGGUUUCACUUUCUGGAACUUCUUUAUAGCUUUCUGAAUUUAUACUUCGGUCUUGCAUGUAGCUUUCUGUUUGUACCCCUAUCUAUGUUUGUUUGUGUAUGUGUGAUGUGCCCCUAUAUAUGUAUGUUUCUUUGUCCGCUUCAUAUGUGCAAGCGCUCCAUUGGCUGUGUGUGACUGUGUGGUUGACUGUUGUGCUUAGAUGGGGUGAUUCUGAUUGUGUUACUGCUUAUAUGGUCUGUCCAAUUGGUUUCUUCUUCAUGCUUUGCUUGUGUUCCAAUGUCGUCUCCCCAUUAUAUGGGAUGCAAACCAUGUAGGCCGUUUCGAGCAGGCAGGGAUCCAGAGACGUGCACUGGUCAGGCUUCUCUCCUGGUUGAUAGAUGAUGAUAGGCUAAGCAGGAAAGUUUGACUCUUGUAACACUCACUUGCUUGGCUUCCACUCCUUUGUGUGGCGGAUUUGGCAUCCAAUGCAUCCCAUGCCUAUCUUAUUUAUCUCACUCACUCAUCACAACACCCGUUUCCCUGUUUUUGUUCCUUAUUUUUCUUAUCAUAAUAAUCAUGUUUACCGUGGUGUUUGACAAUACAGUUUUUGUGAUAUCUAUGUUUCGUUAUGUCUUAUGUGGAUAUCAUAUUCUUUUUUUGUAUUAUUGAUGUCCAGUCAUUGGAAUAAUGCUUUUUCUAAGUAUUUCAGGUAGGAUAUAGACAAAUGUCACAUUUGCUCUUCCUUGUGUUGCUAAGGACACUGAUGGGUUGGGUUUGCUUACAGCGCGGGACAGAUAAUUCUAUUGGAAUAUUUCUUUGAGAAAGAAGUUAGAUGUCUAUGGCACCAGCAAUAUUUUGGCAAUUCCAAGACUAAUUGGUCAUGAUGACUUCAAGCAUAAAUAGAAGACAGCUGAUUCUGAGGGCCAUCUUGAUCUGAACAGCUCAUUAUUCUAAUUUUAGCUCACCUCUACAGUCAUACAAACUGGCAUGCCGAGGACUGCUCAGGGUUCCUUUCGCUUUCUGUUUUACCAACCGAGUGGGCUCUUUAGGUUCAUCUUGUGACACAAAAUACAAUAUUGGUACGUGCAGACUCUGAAAUUUGGUGAUAAAGAAAAGCUGAAUUAUUUCCGGAUAGGACAGAGGUGCAGUGUUUACAUCCAUGGCACAAGGUUAUUUAACAGUGUAUGCUGAAUUAUUUCCGGGUAGGACAGAGAUGCAGUGUUUACAUCCAUGGCAGAAGGUUCUUUAACAGUGCAUCAAACGUCCUUGGACUCAAGAGGAAGAUGACAAAAUUAUUGACCUUGUAAACAACUAUGGACCACCAGAAUGAUCUCAUUGCAAGGUCAGCUACCAGAACUUCUUGCUGCUGAUCCUGGGAUGUUUCUGAACAUGCUCCCAAACAUGUUCAAUUUAUCCGCCCUAGGACAGCCACUGCCAUGACACAGCAGGCUACUCGGCAUGCUCGGCGUGUUUACCUCGGUGGACUUCCUCCAAUCGCUAAUGAACAGACGGUUGCUCUAUUCUUCAAUCAAGUUAUGACCGCUAUUGGGGGAGACACAUUUGAUCCAGGUGAUGCAGUUCUUAAUAUGAAGCUGAUUUUUGAAUUCAUACAAAACAUCUUAGGUGGCAUAAUCAUCUAACUCUGUGUGCGUGACUGACUGACUGUGUGUGUCUGUGGCUGUGUAUGUUUUGUGUGUGUGACUGACUGUGUGUGUGUUCUAUGUCUUGUGUGUGUGACUGACUGACUGUGUGUGUGACUGUGACUAUGUGUGUUGGCUGACUCUGCGUGUGACUGUCACUCUAUGUGUUGGCUGACUCUGUGUGUCACUG